rnacentral:lncRNA from 1 species
AAUGCUUAAUUCCUAGGAAUUAUCACCUGUCCCGGGGCAAGGAGGCCACGCUCAGAAUCCCUGGGUGCUCCCCGCCUGCGCAUGUGCCACUGCUCCAUGCAGGGUUGCAGGAUGUUAAGUAUUUGAUGGGAUGCUCUGAAUUUCUUUUUUUUUAAGAUUUUAUUUAUUCAUGAGAGACACAGGGAGAGAGAGAGGCAGAGACACAGGCAGAGGGAGAAGCAGGCUCCACAUAGGGAGCCCGAUGUGGGACUUGAUCCCAGGACUCCAGGAUAACACCGUGGGCCGAAGGCAGACGCUCAACCUCUGAGCCACCCAGGGGUCCCAAUGCUCUGAAUUUUUAAUUGCAAAUUUUCAUUCAACGUUCUCUUUAGGAAGCACUGUCUGCUCCUGUCCCACUUCGGCUCGACCUCCCAGACUGGAGCCACUGGGUGCAGGAUUUCCCUUUAACUCCGAAUGAAUGUCAGGAGGGACGGUGGUGGCACCCAGCCCCAGCAUGGAGGGGGCGGGAGUGAGCGCCCGGGGGUGCAGGGCUCUCUGGGGACCAGCUCGGAGUCCCAGCUUGCCCUCUGAGCCGGCAGAGCAAAGUCACUGAGGGCAACAAAAAGCACCAUCUGGAACCUCAAAGACGCAUUCUUUGUCCCGAGGUGUGGCGGACACAGCCUUUCUCUGAUGACCGGGGGUCUCUGGGAGACUCCGCGGGGCUGGGCCCUGCGGCCCUGGACAUGUGACUUUGGAGAACCGAGUUCUGGGCUCUCAGUUCCAGUUCCUUGCUGGGACCGGCUCAGGCAAUUCCCCGGAGGCCCGUCCACUUAGAGGAAGAGAGAGCAGCCAGCCUGCUGCCCGUGGGAAGGCCCGGGGGUAGUGAAAUCGUCUGCAGAUGACACGGUGACGCGCUGCAUCCACAGUGAGGCCUGGGCUUUCCCGCCGAUCCAGAGGCCACCCCGGGGGUGGGGGGCGACUGCUUCCCACCUGCACUUCUCCUUUUUUGGAGCAGACCUCAAAUCACCCUCUAAGAGGAGUCUAAAGAGCAGAGAUGGAGGGAGUCUGGGUCUGACAAGAUCCCGGGAAGACAAGAUGGGCUGUUCUGAAAUUUCGCCAAGGGAAGUGAGAGGCUUUCCCUGUGCAUGGGCUGGGCGUGACCUCAGGGAGUUCCUGCAAUGUGAAGCAGUGAAGAGGGAGAGAACCAAUGCCUUCCCCACCGCUACGUGCUGCUCUUCCUUCCUUCUUUCAACAAUUAUUUAUUGAGCUUCUACUGUGUGAAGGGUGCUGUGCUAGAGUAUGCUGUAAAAAAGCUCCAGAACUUUCAGAGGUAAGUUAAUUAUUCUCAGCUUCAGAUUCCUCCUCUAUGGGGUACAUUUAAACUUGGAGAUUCUAUUUUAAAAAAAUAAAAAAGUUCUUCUGAUUAACGCCAGAAAAUCAAAUUCAGCAAAUCACCAGUUUCCUUGAGCAUUUUGUUUAAAAUCCAGGAUGUUCUAUUUCAUCUUGAAAACCUCAUGGCAUCUCGGCCCUGGAAGGUUGUUCCAUCUGGUCUUUGCCACAGACAGGUAACUGAUCAAGUUUUCAGGAGAGACAUUGCCUAGUCUCUUAUUCCUUUUUUAAAAAGGUUUCAAACAACAAACAUUUAUCAUUUCACAAUUUGCCAGCUGGGCUCCUAUGGUUCAAGGAAUCUCAGCAGGCUGCAGUCACAGGCACAAGGGGGCUUGGGCAUCGGGGGUCAAUGUCAAGACUCGCCUGUGGGGGG